rnacentral:rRNA from 1 species
UACGUAGGGGGCUAGCGUUGUCCGGAUUUAUUGGGCGUAAAGAGCGUGUAGGCGGCCAGGUAGGUCUGCUGUGAAAACUCGAGGCUCAACCUCGAGACGUCGGCGGAAACCGUCUGGCUAGAGUCCGGAAGAGGAGAGUGGAAUUCCCGGUGUAGCGGUGAAAUGCGCAGAUAUCGGGAAGAACACCCGUGGCGAAGGCGGCUCUCUGGGACGGUACUGACGCUGAGAGACGAAAGCUAGGGGAGCGAAUGGG